rnacentral:rRNA from 1 species
GUUCAGAGGCAUUCAUUACAUGGAUACCUAUGGUAAUUCUAGAGCUAAUACAUGCUUACAGACCCGACUUCACGGGAGGGUUGUGCUUAUUAGAUACUGAACCAACCCAGGUUCGCCUGGUUUUGAGUUGAUUCAUAGUAUUCCAGCGAAUCGUCCAUCGUAGACGAUGAGUCUUUCAAGUUUCUGACCUAUCAGCUUCCGACGGUAGGGUAUUGGCCUACCGUGGCAUUGACGGGUAACGGAGAAUUAGGGUUCGAUUCCGGAGAGGGAGCCUGAGAAACGGCUACCACAUCUAAGGAAGGCAGCAGGCGCGUAAAUUACCCAAUCCUGACACAGGGAGGUAGUGACAAGAAAUACCAAUAUAAGGCUUCUAUGUCUUGUAAUUGGGAUGAGUAUAAUUUAAACCGCGUUACGAGUAUCAAUUGGAGGGCAAGUCUGGUGCCAGCAGCCGCGGUAAUUCCAGCUCCAAUAGCGUAUAUUAAAAUUGUUGCGGUUAAAACGCUCGUAGUUGGAUAUUUGUUGAGGACUGCCGGUCUACCCUAGUGGUGAGCACUCGGUACGUCCUCGGCAUUUUACUGGGGACAGUGUUUGCACUUAAUUGUGUGGCACAUGAUCCAGCACUUUUACUUUGAGGAAAUGAGAGUGUUUCAAGCAGGCGUUCGUCAUGAAUACGUUAGCAUGGAAUAAUAGCAUAGGACCCCGUUCUGAAGCUGUUGGUUUUUGGAACGUGGUAAUGAAAAUAGGGAUAGUUGGGGGCAUUCGUAUUUAACUGUCAGAGGUGAAAUUCUUGGAUUUUUUAAAGACGAACUACUGCGAAAGCAUCUGCCCAGGAUGUUUUUAUUAAUCAAGAACGAAAGUUAGGGGAUCGAAGACGAUCAGAUACCGUCCUAGUCUUAACCUUAAACAAUGCCGACUAGAGAUUGGGGUCGUCAGAAUCUUGACGCCUUCAGCAACUUGAGAGAAAUCAAAGUCUUUGGGUUCCGGGGGGAGUAUGGUCGCAAGGCUGAAACUUAAAGGAAUUGACGGAAGGGCACCACCAGGAGUGGAGCCUGCGGCUUAAUUUGACUCAACACGGGGAAACUUACCAGGUCCAGACAUAGAGAGGAUUGACAGACUGAUAGCUCUUUCUUGAUUCUAUGGGUGGUGGUGCAUGGCCGUUCUUAGUUGGUGGAGUGAUUUGUCUGGUUAAUUCCGUUAACGAACGAGACCUUAACCUGCUAAAUAGUUCCUAGAACCCCAGGGUUUCAAGGUGACUUCUUAGAGGGACUACGUGGGUUUACCAUGAGGAAGCGUGAGGCAAUAACAGGUCUGUGAUGCCCUUAGAUGUUCUGGGCUGCACGCGCGCUACACUGAUGCGUCCAACGAGCACCGAACCUACUCCGGAAGGAAUGGGUAACCUUGUGAAAGCGCAUCGUGAUGGGGAUAGAUUAUUGCAAUUAUUAAUCUUGAAUCGAGGAAUUCCUAGUAAGCGCAAGUCAUCAGCUUGUGCUGAUUACGUCCCUGCCCUUUGUACACACCGCCCGUCGCUCCUACCGAUUGGAUGAUCCGGUGAAUAAUUCGGACCGACGUUUAUCGCAGUUCUGUGGUUUACUUUGGAAAGUUAAUAAACCUAUCAUCUAGAGAAG